UUGAAACUCACCGGUGGUAGGGCUCUCCGGUGCGGCGGCUCCUCUGGCUCACAUUGCGGUUGGGUGUUUUGCUUCAGUCAACCUGUAGAGAAGGAAACGGAGAUCACAACAAUGGAAAAAUCACAUCAAACGGGAAUCGGAAAGGGCCUCGUCGGAGGCUUUUUUCGAAAUACCCCGCGGUGGCACCGCCGAGCUUUGCCAGCAUUUUUCAGCCAAUUGACCGGUCCUUUUACUCCGAUUUUAUUAUGGGUGUGUUAAAUAUUAAAUUCUGAGCAAAGGGUAGAAUUUUUAUCUCAUUUGGCGGUUGAAAAUUGCUUCGGUGUGGCAGCGAGUGGCGGCGGUCGGCUUCCCGGUGGCUGGGUUGUCUUCUCCGGUGGGGCUCUAGCGGUAAGGGUUAGGGUUUGGGCGCGGAUGGGGUUAUUUAUACCCAUUCGCUUUUGAUUUGGGCUGUCCAUCGCAUUUAAUCUGGACCGUCCGAUCGCGAUUCAAUAUGGGCCAUCCGUGCGCGAUUCAAUCUGGACCGUCCGUGCGCAAUGCUGGGCCGUCCGUGCGCAUUUUCAAUCUGGGUCAUUCGUAUGCGCCGGAAAGGAUCUCAGCCAUUCGAUUGCGCGCGUGCAGAUCGCCCACGUGGCUCCCCCUACGUGGCCUCUUGCAUCAGCGCCUCUGCCACCUGGCGCGUCCUGGUUGGCCGGGGCUGCUGAUUAGGCAUCUGACGUGAC
rnacentral:lncRNA from 1 species